AUGUGUGUCCCGAAAGAAAAAUGUGGAAUGGGAUUUAGAGAUAUCCAUGCUUUCAAUCUUGCACUUCUAGCAAAACAAUGCUGGAGGUUGAUUGAGAACUAUGACUCGCUCUGUGCAAGAGUGUUGCGUGCUCGAUACUAUCCCACUGAUGAUAUUCUAAACUGCACUUUAAAGAAGGGUUCAUCUUUUGUAUGGCAGAGCAUAUUUGCAGGCAUACAAACGUUCAAGAAAGGAAGCAUUUGGAGAGUUGGGGACGGCACAAAGAUUGAUAUCUGGGAGGAUAGUUGGAUACCAAACAGCCCAACAAGAAAGGUCUUCACACGACGAGGUAAUUGCCUAUUAACACAUGUGAGCGACCUGACAGACCCUAUAUCAGGUGAGUGGGACGAGCAGAUUAUCAGGGACAACUUUUGGAGAAUAGAUGCAGAUCGUAUAUUACAGAUUCCCUUAUCCCAUCAUGUCUUGGAUGACGCUGUUGCAUGGCACUUCACAAAAAAUGGAGUAUACAACGUUCGAUCUGGCUAUUACAGAGAAUGGGAAAAUCAAUAUGGUAUGAAAGUUGGGGGCGAGGCUGGACAGUCGAGCACACCUGAUCAUCCGGUUUGGAAGAGGCUGUGGAAAUUAAAGCUACCAGGAAAAGCAAAAAUCUUCGUCUGGCGUUGCCUGCACAACACCAUCCCUUUUAAGUGUACACUAGCCAACAGACACAUACCUACAAGUGGGUAGUGUCCAAUUUGCCAGCAGGGGACGGAGGACAUUAAACAUGCGCUUUUCACGUGCCCCCGGGCUAGGUCAAUAUGGUCUGAGUUGGGCUUGAAAACUGUGAUA
rnacentral:rRNA from 1 species